AGGUCAUUUGCUGUAACUCCUGCAUUUUAGGUGGGGAGCCCCACAGGCAACGGUUAAGAAUCUCACUGCGCUUCUCCAGGGCCCUGAUGAGAAGGCUGGCUUUUGGAUCCCAACUCCCGUGCUCUGCGUGACAUCUUUGCCCUGGCUACCUGCAGACCCAAGGAACUGAUGCUCAGAGCGCAGCAGCAUCUCGGGUAAAAUGUGCAUACGGCAAAACGCACUAGUCUGAAGUGAUAUGAUUUGAUGGGUGCUGACAAGUACACACACCUGUGACAGCCAGACCUCUAUCAAGAUCUAGACUUUUCUAUCACCUGGCUCAUUCUCUCGUGCCCCCUCCCUGGUCAAUCCCUGGAAACAACUACUGAUUUGCUUUCUGUCACUACAGAUUUGUGUGUUCUAGAAUUCCACGUCCAUGGAAUAAAACAGUACAUCCUUU